CAGCAGCCGCGGUAAUACGGAGGAUCCAAGCGUUAUCCGGAAUCAUUGGGUUUAAAGGGUCCGUAGGCGGUCUUGUAAGUCAGUGGUGAAAGCCCAUCGCUCAACGGUGGAACGGCCAUUGAUACUGCAGGACUUGAAUUAUUGGGAAGUAACUAGAAUAUGUAGUGUAGCGGUGAAAUGCUUAGAGAUUACAUGGAAUACCAAUUGCGAAGGCAGGUUACUACCAAUUGAUUGACGCUGAUGGACGAAAGCGUGGGUAGCGAACAGGAUUAGAUACCCCCGUAGUCCUGUCUCUUAUACA
rnacentral:rRNA from 1 species